UAGGGAAUCUUGCGCAAUGGGCGAAAGCCUGACGCAGCAACGCCGCGUGCGGGAAGAAGGCUCUCGGGUUGUAAACCGCUUUCAGUAGGAACGAAUUUGACGGUACCUGCAGAAGAAGGUGCGGCCAACUACGUGCCAGCAGCCGCGGUGACACGUAGGCACCAAGCGUUGUCCGGAUUUAUUGGGCGUAAAGAGCUCGUAGGCGGUUCAGUAAGUCGGGUGUGAAAACUCAGGGCUCAACCCUGAGCUGCCACCCGAUACUGCUGUGACUUGAGUCCGGUAGGGGAGUGGGGAAUUCCUGGUGUAGCGGUGAAAUGCGCAAAUAUCAGGAGGAACACCGGUGGCGAAGGCGCCACUCUGGGCCGAGACUGACGCUGAGGAGCGAAAGCGUGGGUAGCAAACA
rnacentral:rRNA from 1 species